GUCCAGACUCCUACGGGAGGCAGCAGUGAGGAAUAUUGGUCAAUGGGCGGAAGCCUGAACCAGCCAAGUCGCGUGAGGGAAGAAGGCCCUGCGGGUCGCAGACCUCUUUGGACGGGGAGCAAGGCCGCCGACGUGUCGGCGGAAGGAGAGUACCCGCAGAAGAAGCACCGGCUAACUCCGUGCCAGCAGCCGCGGUAAUACGGAGGGUGCAAGCGUUAAUCGGAAUUACUGGGCGUAAAGCGCACGCAGGCGGUUUGUUAAGUCAGAUGUGAAAUCCCCGGGCUCAACCUGGGAACUGCAUCUGAUACUGGCAAGCUUGAGUCUCGUAGAGGGGGGUAGAAUUCCAGGUGUAGCGGUGAAAUGCGUAGAGAUCUGGAGGAAUACCGGUGGCGAAGGCGGCCCCCUGGACGAAGACUGACGCUCAGGUGCGAAAGCGUGGGGAGCAAACAGGAUUAGAUACCCGAGUAC
rnacentral:rRNA from 1 species